CAGAAAUGAACCUAUAAAGGGUUAAAGAUGAUCAUUUGCGCAAGAGAACUGUCAUUGCGCAGGAUGUUGUCAUCACCGAUGCGCGUGUCCGUCUGCGCGCACUCGUGGGUUCCGUGCGUCAUGGCCGCCGUCAGCUGCGCAAGGCUCCUGUCACCGGGAUCCGUUCACGGACUGCGGCUCGGUUCUUGGCUUCUUCCGGCUCUGAGCCGAGUGUCUCAGGCGCGCCGCCACAGGCUCGGUCCCGCCGAUGACGAGCUCUACCAGAGGACCACAGUGUCGCUCCUGCAGAAGGAAGGGGGAGGAGCCGUCAUCUACAGCUACAGCCCGCGCGGAUUCAACAUCAGCGGGAACAGAGUGAUGGGACCCUGCGCCGUGCUGCCCCCUGCCGUCCUGCAGUGGAACGUGAGACCUGUGGGUCAUCACACAGACAUCACAGUGGAGAGUUUGUCUCUGUUUUAUCUGCUGGAGCCACGCAUCGAGAUCCUGGUGCUGGGGACGGGGGCUCGUACGGAGCGUCUGGAUACAAGCGUGCUGGACUUCCUGAAGAAGAAGGGCAUCGCUGUGGAGGUUCAGGACACGCCAAACGCAUGUGCGACGUUCAACUUCCUGUCCAGCGAGAGACGGUUAGCAGCGGCCGGCCUGAUCCCUCCUCCUGCGGCCGAGUAACAGAGAACUCUGGGAAACCAUGUCACAUGAUCAAUGUGUGUGUGUGUGUGCAGAGAGAAUAAACACAGAUUCAAGGUGUUAUUACACGAGUGUGUGUGUGUGUUGGUCUGUCUCUGUCCUCUGUGAGAACGGCUCAGUCUGAGCUCGUGUGUGUGAUCAGACACAAACACACUCUCUUCAUCGCGAGCACGUCUUUAUUAGCUCCACAUCACGUCUAACGUUUAUUUGUGUAAAUCUCAGGUGUGGACGAGUCUAAACUUUGAUAAAGAAUUUCUCUGGAUUUUAGACUUUAGUCUUUGCAUCUUUACCCUAACCCUAAUCAAGAGUUUGUAUCAUAUGACCCCUUAAAAACACCGUAGCAACGAUCAAGAACACCCUAGCAACCUCUCAGAAGACACUAGCACGUCCAGUGUCACAUUUAACUGAUUCUGUAUAUUAUCUCUAUAUUACCAAGUGUUUCUAGUGUGUUUCCCUGCAUUGCUCACUCACCGCUGAUGUGAAGGGCCAGAGCGUGACCUCUGAACUCUAUGACAUCAUCUCUCAGGUGGUUCUGUGUGGGUCCAUGUUGUAAUAUGUCCCAGGAUUGUUGUCCUCAGAGUAUAGUAAUACCAGUAAAUUAUGACUUUUUUGGGAGAUUUACAAGUCAUAGAGAAUAUAGUGUAUAGAUGUAGAAUCGAAAUCAAUCUAAACACAUAUCUGGAACAUUGGGAUCAAGAAACUAAAACACAAAGUAAAUUACAAUUCUAUCGAACUCUAAAAUCUGAUUAUGAAUGUGAAGAUUAUCUUCAGAGACGGAUCCUGAGCAAGUACAGGCUCUGUGAGCACAGUCUAGUGUGAGUGUGUGUGUGUGUGUGAGAGAGAGAGAGAGAGAGACAGCAGCUGAACGUGGCCCGCAGGGACUUCACGUGGGCCGGUUCUGGGCCGGUUCUGGGCCGAAACUGCUUGCUCUCUGGGUCUGACCCUACUGUGCUCAUUAGUAUGUUUCUGUGUUUCUAUGCAAGUUAAAGACUCAUAUCAAAUGUUCACAUUUCUAAGACGUUAUAAUAUUCAGUUCCAUUACUGUGAUGUUCAUUUAAUUAUUGUUAUUAUGUAUUUUAUUUUUUUUCUAUAUAUGUAUUCUAAGCUUUGGCAAUAUUGUAUCAUUACAUUCAUGCCAAUAAAGCGAUAUUAAAAAUCUAAAAA